GCUGACUCUAAUUUAACUGGGCGUUGUAUCUAGGGGGUGGGUGAGAUUUUCUGUUUAUUUUCAUUUGUUUUUGUCAAACCUGGCAAUCCCAACAAAUAGGAAUUAGCAGAACUUUGCCUGAAGUUACAGGUGGUUUUUUUCUCGGUUGAGAGAAGUGGGGGGUUUUGUAGAAGAGGUACCUUUUGAGUCAAGUGAAGUAGCACACAUCUGUAAUUCCAGCUACUGAGGAGGCUGAGGCAGGAGGAUUGCAAGUUUGAGGCCAACUUGGGCAAUACAACAAGACCUUAUCUCAAAAAAUAGAGCUGGUGGGCCGGGGAUUUAGCUCAGUGGUUCCGAUGCCGGCCUCGAAAGCACAAGGUCCUGAGUUCAAUCCCCGGUACAAAAGAAAAAAAAAAAGCUGGAGGGCUGAGGAUUUAGCUCAAUGGUUUUGCUGCCUGCUGUGCAAGUGCAGGGACCCGAGUUCAAUGUCCGGUACCCUCCCCCCCAAAAAAAGACAUACAUUUUACCUGACACUAAGCUGUCCUUGUAUUGAGUUGGAAACCAAACAAAAUUAGCAGUUUUUUUAAACUUUGCAGUGGCCAUUUAUGUUAAACUGGUAGAUUUACUUGAGAAUUGUCAAAGAGAUUCUUUUUUCCUGAUUGCAUUUCUGACAUACUUCAAAGACAGAGCUCAAGAACCUCCUGAGCACUGUGUCCUGGAAGAGAGGUUUGCAGCUUUGGCUGUGCCCUGGAGUCUCCUGGGAAUUCUGAAAGCUCUGAUGACUGGGCAGCCCCACCCCACCCUGUGGCUCGGAUUCAACUGAAUUUGUACAUACUUCCCCAGUGAUGCUGAGGUGUGGCUCAAGGGGAGACCCCUUUGUUCUAGAAGGUUGUUGCCCAAAGGGAGAGGAAAUGGGGCUUGUUGAACCUAGGCUAGAGAGUGGACCCUCUGCUGGGACAGUCCAUGGUGGCUUUUUCUGGUGCUGAUGCUGUUGAAUGGUCCUUGCCUCAGGAUGGGAGGCCAGGUGCCUUCAGGACUGGUGGCUCUUGCUGUUCUCAGAGCCAGGAGGCUAGCAAGCCUGAGUGGGUGGCAGGGUCUCUGCCUGGUACCCCUGGAGUCCUAAGUGACACGUGUCGUGACGUACUGACCAGGACUCAUUCCACAGUGGGAAUACAACAGUCAGCUGCGCGCCGUCCCCCUGAAAGCAGCCUUGGCCACAGCAGCCACCUGCUUAUACCACAGAGCAGGAGGGGACACUGGCUUUGUGGAUUCUGCCUAUUUCCUGACAGCCAAAGCCUCCAGCAAGGCCUGGUGGAGUAGAGAGAAAUCCAGUCCUCUUUUUGUGCUGUGAGUGUGAGACAUUGGCAGUUUUAACCCUAACUGUAGAUGUGACUGGAAUAGGCCAGAGUUUGGGGUGGCCCUCCUGUGAAGAAAAUGAGUGCCUGGCAGGUCCCCAGCAACCCUGCAGAGGGCCGAGGUGGAGUCUGGGUUGAAGAGGGGCCAUUUAGGACUUUGGUGCUGGCCUCCUCCACAGUCUUCACUCCCAGGCUCCCCUUGGGACCCACGGUCUCCCCUCUAACAUGGCACUUAAGACUAGUAAGACUGACGUGUGUCCCACAGAGGUCCUCAAGUUAGACGUGCCAUGCCCUUCCCUUGGAGCACUGAUCUCAGGGACCUCCUGGUCCUGACAUCCUGCUAAGCAUGCACUGGUGACAGAAGCAGCCGGUGCGAGGCAGUAGGGACUGAAACCAUGGGCUUGCCCUCCCUGCCUGGCAGGACAACCCCGAGGCCCUCCUGCCGUCCUCUCGCUGCCCACCUGAGAAAACAACUGCGUUGGAGGAGAGUUUGUUUCUCGCCCUGUGACCCUGGUGGAGGGUAAUGCCACUGUCCUUCCUGGGUACUAGGUUUCCCAUGUGACCUCACUGCCCCAACCUUGUAGGCUCCUCUCCAUUGUGACCGUAAUGCUGGGGUGUCAGACCCAGCUAGGGAUGGCAUCCCAGGCCACCCCUCCUACAGGUCUAAGUGCUGAUGUCCUAGGGGUGACCCUGUCUCCUGCUGGGACCAUCUGCUUUGCUGUGCUGCACAGGCUGUGAUUUUUGUCUGCAUGGUUUGGGGUCCCUGUCCGUGUGCCUUCUUCCCUGUCACCACUGUACAGGAUUCUCCACGUUACCCUCUGCCCUGUUUUCUACGUCCCCUCUCCUCUCCUUCCCUCCCCUGCCCCGGAAAUGUGUAGCACUCAUCUUCUUUGUGGCCCCGUGCCCCCACCUUGUAAGGCCUUGCUCGCAGGCACAUCUCCUGAGGGAGGAUCAGGCCCGCUUCCCCUUGGCUUGCGCAGUCUUGUAGACACCGUCACUUUGUACAGAAUUGUUCAUUGUCUUAGGUCUGGGGGGUGCUUAGUCCCUCAUCGAGCCUGCAGGUAGUUUAGAAGCCUUGCUUCCCAGAAAAGGGUAACUUUGUGUAAAGCAGCUUCUCCCACAAACCUCUUCCUGUGUUGAUGUGAAUAUUUAUAGGCGGCAGAGUGCACUUUUAACCUGGGGCAUCGGCCCGGGCAGGGAUGUUGCAGAGCUGCAGCAGCUCCGGUACCCACUCUGCCCCAGAGGAAGCCCUGGCUGUGUGGUUCCCCAUGCUUAGCAAAACUCCACUGCCUCUGGUGUAUGGAACAGCUGUGGACCCCAGUAGGGCUGAAGGAAGAGACUGCUGCCCUCCCUGCCUGCUCUUAAUACCUGCCCAGCCCCUGUCUGCUGAAGGUGCUCAGACCAGAGUGCCAUUAAUAAUCCCAGACUGUCAGGACCUUGAUGGGACAAUACUCGAGUGAGGCCUCAGCCCCUCCCACUCCGGGCAGGGUCUCCGGGGCCCAGGCGGAAAAACUGCCCCCAUGGCCUAGUGCCCAAGGGUUGGUUAGAUGGCUUUUGACUCUCUGUGGGAUUCAGCUUGGUUUUUGCCCCAGGAACCUAUGUCUGGAAAGAGCUCUGGGGCCAGAGGAGGACCUCCAUGUUCAGGUCCAGGGGAGGGAGUGUGGGCUGAGGCCCCAAGGUGGAGUCCCAGGUCCUGAGCUCUUCGCCUGAAGCCUGCUUCCUUCCAGAAGGGAGCAGGCUCUCCACGGCAGGCACCUUCCAGGGAACUGUAAUGUACAGACCAAGGUGUAAAUAAACCGUUGGCUUUUCUUGCCUGA
rnacentral:lncRNA from 1 species